rnacentral:rRNA from 1 species
CGUGUAGGCGGCUUUGCAAGUCGGGUGUGAAAGCCCUCAGCUCAACUGAGGAAGUGCGCCCGAAACUGCAGAGCUUGAAUACCAGAGAGGAUAGCGGAAUUCCCCAAGUAGAGGUGAAAUUCGUAGAUAUGGGGAGGAACACCAGUGGCGAAGGCGGCUAUCUGGAUGGCUAUUGACGCUGAGACGCGAAAGCGUGGGUAGCAAACA